rnacentral:tRNA from 1 species
GCCCUCGUAGUUCAAUGGAUAGAACUGGAGACUUCUAAUCUCCCGAUCGAGGUUCGAUUCCUCGCGAGGGCA